rnacentral:rRNA from 1 species
UAACGGCGAGUGAAGAGGGACUAGCCCACAUUUGUAAUCUGGCUCUUUCAGAGUCCGAGUUGUAAUCUCGAGAACGAUUUCCCGUGUUGGACCUUGUAUAAGUCUGUUGGAAUAUAGCUUCAUAGAGGGUGAGAAUCCCGUAAAUGACAAGGACUACCAAUACUUUGUGAUAUCGUCUCCAAGAGUCGAGUUGUUUGGGAAUGCAGCUCAAAUCGGGUGGUAAAUUCCAUCUAAGGCUAAAUAUUGGCGAGAGACCGAUAGCGAACAAGUACCGUGAGGGAAAGAUGAAAAGCACUUUGGAAAGAGAGUUAACAGUACGUGAAAUUGUUAAAAGGGAAACGCUUGAAGUCAGUCUUGUAGCAUUUCGUUCAACCGCAAGGUGUACUCGAAUUGUAACAGGCCAACAUCAAUUUUCGAUGUCGGAUAAGGGUGUUGAGAACGUAGCAACUUCGGUUGUGUUAUAGCUCUUCACUUGAUACGAUAUUGGGGAUUGAGGAACGCAGUGAGCCUUUUGGCGGGUCAUUAGACCUUCUCAAUAUGCU